rnacentral:rRNA from 1 species
UAUGAAGGGGGCUAGCGUUGCUCGGAAUCACUGGGCGUAAAGCGCACGUAGGCGGCUUUUUAAGUCAGGGGUGAAAUCCUGGAGCUCAACUCCAGAACUGCCUUUGAUACUGAGAGGCUCGAGUCCGGGAGAGGUGAGUGGAACUGCGAGUGUAGAGGUGAAAUUCGUAGAUAUUCGCAAGAACACCAGUGGCGAAGGCGGCUCACUGGCCCGGUACUGACGCUGAGGUGCGAAAGCGUGGGGAGCAAACAGG